AUUAGAAAAGAUUUUCAAGACAGUCAUUGUAAAGUUUAUGCCAAAAUUCCUAAAAUGAUUUAAGGAACAUCUCAUACAUAAUACUACAGAGGUCUACUUGCAAGAUAUUAAUAUUAGCAGAACCAAUUUCUCCAAGUUGAUACUAUAAAGGUAGCUUUCAAAUAUGGUUAAUAAUAAUUAAGUGGCCAACUCUCUCAGAUUAUAUUCUAUAGGACCGACACUUCUUAUCAAAGAUAUGUCUUAGCGUUCCAUGCAUGUUGGUGUCUAACACUGACAUAUUGGUUAUCUUCGCUUAAUUCAUUUUCUCAAAUUGUUACCAUGUCAAUGUGAAUAUUGUAUCCGACAAUUGUGCCAGUAUUCAUGCUUCACAGUGAUUAUAAAAAGGGAACAGACACUACUCUGCAUGUAUAAGCAAACUCUUCCUCUUGCUGAUCAUCAGAGUGAUGUCUUCAUCUUCCAGUACUACUUGGAGUGUGGAAGACAACAAAGCAUUUGAAAAGGCUCUAGCAGUUUAUGACAAGGACACACGUGAUCGUUGGUACAACAUUGCUAAGGCUGUUACUGGAAAAACUCCUGAACAAGUCAAGACUCACUAUCAACUCCUUCUACACGACAUUCAUCUUAUUGAAUCAGGACAAGUUCCCUUUCCACUCUACACCAGCUCCAAACAAACCACUUAAUUUAUUCAUAUAUCUAGCAAAUUUAUUGUUUUAUAUUCAUAGAAAAAAAAACAAAUACAUGUCUUAGAAAAUAAUUAAUUUUGCCACUUGCUGAUAUUAAAGCAUGUAAUCUAUUGUAAUAAGGUGACAACUCCUUGUAAUAAUAUCUACAUCAAUAUAACGAUUUCUACAACUGACUGUUGAUGUGCGCUUGGGACAACACCUUGAGUCAACAAAUAACACUGUGCCUAAUAAAUAUAGAGCUGGGCCAAGUACUGAUCUAGAGUCCAAUAAGAGACCAAAAUGUAUAUGCAGGAUGUUAGGGUGGAUGGAAAGACUAGCAGUAGUGUGAAGUCGCAUUCUUCUCAUGAAUUACGUUAUGCGUUUGCUUUGAUUUAGUUACUGCUUGUAAUAGAGCCAUGUUCACUUGGCAGUGAAUCCUAGAAUUUAGGAUUAAGUUACCUCAAUAAGUUAUUGUUUGAUCAAGAAUGUGUGUAUUAAAAAAUGAAUGUAUAGCUCCUCAACUAGGAGAUUUGGCAGUAAAAGUCAGUGUUCUAUUCUAUUAA